UACGUAGUGGGCGAGCGUUGUCCGGAUUUAUUGGGCGUAAAGAGCUCGUAGGCGGUUUGGCAAGUCGGGUGUGAAAACUCCGGGCUCAACUCGGAGACGCCACUCGAUACUGCCAUGACUCGAGUCCGGUAGGGGAGUGCGGAAUUCCUGGUGUAGCGGUGAAAUGCGCAGAUAUCAGGAGGAACACCGGUGGCGAAGGCGGCACUCUGGGCCGGUACUGACGCUGAGGAGCGAAAGCGUGGGGAGCGAACAGG
rnacentral:rRNA from 1 species